CAGGAGAGCAGCUCCCGCACGAGGCAGCAUCUCCUCUGGGUGCUCUGUGGCACAGAAUGUCAGACAGACAUGGAGAAUCUUUUGAAGAACAUGAAGUCCCAGACCUGCAAGGGGCUGCUGAGCCUGGAGAAGAGGUGUGAGGUGGGCCACAGGCAGCAAGAUGCAGCACCUCGGGACAACCAGAGCAAGGCCUCAUCCCUCCGUGGGGACAGGAUACCACUCAUUCCCUGCCCACAGGGCUUGCAGGAUGCUGGUAGGCACCCUCCACAGGGGCUGGAAAGGAGAGGCCGGGCUCGCCCCAGGCGCAGGGCUCCACGGAGGAAUGCUUUCCUGCAGUGGCAGCAGGGCACCCUGGAAGAGAACUCAUGCAGCAGGGAUGUGAGGAGCGGCUUGCAGCCCUGACAUGGUCUCAGCUGCUCUCAGCUGCUCAAUGACACAGCCGGUCAGGAAGCUUCCUCAGUUUACGAGUUGUCCACGAAGGUGAUGAAGAUUGAUAGAAAGAAAAGACAGAAACAGGAGAAGCAAUAAAAUGAGUGAUCAUACAGUG